rnacentral:rRNA from 1 species
GAUGAACGCUGGCGGCGUGCCUAAUACAUGCAAGUCGAGCGAACAGACGAGGAGCUUGCUCCUCUGACGUUAGCGGCGGACGGGUGAGUAACACGUGGGUACCCUACCUAUAAGACUGGGAUGACUUCGGGAAACCGGAUCUAAUACCGGACAAUAUAUUGAACCGCAUGGUUCAAUAGUGAAAGACGGUUUUGCUGUCCCUUAUAGAUGGUUCCGCGCCGCAUUAGCUAGUUGGUAAGGUAACGGCUUACCAAGGCGACGAUGCGUAGCCGACCUGAGAGGGUGAUCAGCCACACUGGAACUGAGACACGGCCCAGACUCCUACGGGAGGCAGCAGUAGGGAAUCUUCCGCAAUGGGCGAAAGCCUGACGCAGCAACGCCGCGUGAGUGAUGAAGGUCUUCGGAUUGUAAAACGCUUUUGUUCGGGAAGAACAAAUGUGGAAGAAACUAUGGGCGUCAUGACGGUACCGGAUGAAAAAGCAACGGCUAACUACGUG